rnacentral:rRNA from 1 species
CCUUGACGGUAUCUCCUUAGCAAGCACCGGCUAACUCCGUGCCAGCAGCCGCGGUAAUACGGAGGGUGCAAACGUUGCUCGGAAUCAUUGGGCGUAAAGCGCACGUAGGCGGCGAAGCAAGUUGGGUGUGAAAGCCCUGGGCUCAACCCAGGAAGUGCAUUCAAAACUGCUUCGCUUGAAUCUCGGAGGGGGUCAGAGAAUUCCCGGUGUAGAGGUGAAAUUCGUAGAUAUCGGGAGGAAUACCAGUGGCGAAGGCGCUGACCUGGACGAAGAUUGACGCUGAGGUGCGAAAGCGCGGGGAGCAAACAGGAUUAGAUACCCUGGUAGUCCGCGCUGUAAACGAUGAGUGCUAGACGGUGGAGGUAUUGACCCCUUCGCUGCCGAAGCUAACGCGUUAAGCACUCCGCCUGGGGAGUACGGUCGCAAGACUAAAAACUCAAAAGGAAUUGACGGGGU